rnacentral:misc_RNA from 1 species
AGUUAGUUUGGGAGUUUGGCCCUCGGCUAGUUUAGAUUGUGAAUGCUAAUCAACUUGUGGUGGCGCGUUUCAGUUUGAUUAAGUUUGCCACCUCCCGGCCAAAGUUCACGUCAAGUCAAGAUUGUGUGGGAAAUCACUGCAUGAGCUGCUGUAAGAUUCUGCUGUUCACUUCCAAUCAAAUCUAUAAUUCAUAACUUGUGAACUUGGGCCAUACACGGUUUCAAAUAGUUAUCGGAAAUGUUAUCGCGAAAAGCACUCCAUGUGGUCAGCUCUUUAUGUAGGACAAGUCCAGAUGUCGCGAGGAAUUUGUCCACCCUUUCAAAACUGACCCUGAACAGGAAUUUCAGGCUACGAAACGCUAAGCUGCUUGCUUCGCUUCAAAAGCUCAAUCACUCACUAGAAAGUAGUUUCAAUGGAUCUGGAGUUCGCUACAAAUCAACAAAUAUCGUCACUUCUCCCUACGAAGAUGUUCCUAUUCCUGACGCUCUGCUGCAUGAAUUUGUUUGGGAAAACUAUGAGAAAUGGGCUGAUAAAAUCGCCAUUGAGUGUGGGUUGACAGGCCGCUCGUACACGUUUUCAAAGCUGAGAGAGCUGUGCAAGAAGUUUGCUGCGGCGCUGUUGAAGUCUGGCCUGAAGCCAGGUGAGGUGGUGGCCAUCAUUCUGCCCAAUACACCCGACUACCCCAUUGCAGCUCUGGGGGCCAUUGAGGCGGGGCUCACUGUGUCUACUGUCAAUCCGGCCUACACGCCUGAGGAGAUAGCGCACCAGUUCCGCAAUUCGAAAUCAGUCUGCGCCAUAACCUUCACCGACAAAUUGGACGAAGUGUUGAAGGCCAAAGCGAACUUGGAGUCUGACGGCGGGUCUCCGAUCAGUGUGAUCUCGAUCAACGAUUUCCUUGGCGCUGCGCAGCCACUGCCAUCUGGAGUGUGGUCGUUCAGAGAAAUGGUCGAGAACAAUUUGGACACGACUGGCAUUGAGUCGGUGUGCAGGAAGCAUAACAUCACGCAGCAGAACUUGGUUGCAUUGCCCUAUUCGUCGGGAACCACAGGGUUGCCGAAAGGCGUGUGUCUCAGCCACUUCAAUUUGGUUGUCAAUCUGCAGCAAAUGGCCGCUAAAGAGACUGAGCAUAUCCUGGAGCCUGAAGGCAAUGUUCAUCAGGACGUAUUACCAGCUAUCCUUCCUUUCUUCCAUAUUUACGGCUUCGUUAUAAUUAUGAUGUCAUCACUGAGACAUGGAGGAAAACUCGUCACCUUACCUAGAUUUGAGCCAAACUCAUUCAUCAAAGUUCUGGAAACCCAAAAAAGCACAAUAAUGUACAUUGUACCACCUAUAAUGCUAUUCAUGACCGCGCACCCAGCUGUUACUAAAAAACAAUUGGAGCACAUGCGCUUCCUAGCUAGUGGAGCCGCUCCCAUUGGUGCAUCGGAUGUCACCAGGACCUUGCACAAAAUGCCCGAAUCUUGUAUCUUCAUGCAAGCCUAUGGGCUAACAGAGACUUCGCCAGUCUGUUUGCUGCCAAGGAACAACAACAGAAAUCUGUCAACAGUUGGUUCCCCAACUUCCAUCACAAAGGCCAAAAUAAUUGAUACCAGCACUGGCAAAAUAUUGGGGCCCAACGAGCAUGGCGAAUUGUGCAUUUACGGACCUCAGGUAAUGCAGGGAUACCUGAACAACCAGAAGGCAACUGAUGAGACGAUCAUCAAUGGUUGGCUGCACACUGGAGACAUCGGCUAUUACGAUGACGAGGGUCUCUUCUACAUUGUCGAUCGACUGAAGGAACUCAUCAAAGUCAAAGGCUUCCAGGUUGCACCAGCCGAACUGGAAGAGUUGUUGCGAACCCAUCCGAAGGUGAACGACGUGGCUGUCAUCGGAGUGCCGGACGCCCGCUCGGGAGAAGUGCCACUGGCCUACGUCAUUCGCAAGGAUGACGUCACCGAAGACGAGCUCAAGGGCUACAUCAGCGACAGGGUGGCUCCCUUCAAGCAGCUGGCGGGCAUCGUCUUCACCGACUCCAUCCCCAAGAGUCCGUCCGGCAAGAUAUUGCGACGGUUCUUGAAGGACGCCUACCUCAAAGAGCACAAGAAAUGAGGGAUUACUAAGUGUUGCCAUGUGUGCCUAUCUAGUAUCGGACAGUUUUGUUGAAUGCCACCGUGAAAAUAUCGCGUCAAGGGUUGGUGUAAACGGUUCCCUUGGUGUUGGAUUCGGUUAUCGGUACAAAUGCUCAUGAUAUAACUUGAUGCAAUUAUCGCGAAAUCAAAUUGAAGCAUUACUGUUGAAUCAGUUGUCACACAUUGUGUACUGGUACACAUACAUACAAUUCAAGCUCUAUCAUCUAUGCUCUACUAUUUUAAAUAUAAAUUAUUUAAUGGUGAGUUGGCCUCACGAUUCUCAAUGAAUAAAAACUAACCAAAAA